UACGUAGGGGGCGAGCGUUGUCCGGAUUUAUUGGGCGUAAAGAGCUCGUAGGCGGUUUGGUAAGUCGGGUGUGAAAUCUCCACGCUCAACGUGGAGGGGCCACUCGAUACUGCCAUGACUCGAGUCCGGUAGAGGAGUGUGGAAUUCCAGGUGUAGUGGUGAAAUACGUAGAUAUCUGGAGGAAUACCGGUGGCGAAGGCGGGUCUCUGGGCCGAUACUGACGCUGAGGAGCGAAAGCGUGGGGAGCGAACAGG
rnacentral:rRNA from 1 species